GAUAAUGGGAGACCCUGUGGAGGGCAAGGGAGGACCACAACCGCGUGGCGGCAAGAAAAAAGACGCAGACGACGAGAAGAACGCGUGGGAAGAGGGUGAUUUCAUAGAUGAAAAGAUCCAUCUCAAAUUGAGCCGGGGCUCCACUUGCACAUCAUCUGCCACGUCAUCGGCCCCCUCAUCCACGUCAUCAACACGUGCCCGGCGCAAUUGGUCAGUCUUCUCGGAGCGGCUACGGGAAACGUUGAGCCGAGUCGGCGGCGGCGGUCCCUCAUCCACUACUGAUUCUCUGAUAUUGUUUGACGUGAAACGUGUUGGUGAUUGCAUGUGGAUUUGUGAACGAGCUGCUUCUCCUCCGUCUUCCUUUGAUUCAUCUUCCUCGGAUUCCGAUGACGAUUCGUUUCUUCGAAUCUUCAAAUUCUUCCCACCAACCCCUGCAGUCUCCUUGGACACCCUUGCGUCGGGAUUUGACAACACUGGAAAUGUGAGGAUCUGGCCUGGAAGUGAGGCACUCGCCUGGACCAUCCUACGGGAUCCCAACAAGAUCCUUGGUCCCAGCCUUGGCGACGGUGAUGGUGGUGGCCACAGGAGAAUCCUAGAGCUUGGCGCUGGCUUCUUGGGACUUUCAAGCAUUCUGAUUGCAUGCAAGGUUCCCGAUUCGAGUGUCUGGGUUACAGAUGGUAACAUGGAAUCCGUGCGUUCUCUGGAAAAGAUUCGAAAUUCAAACUCGUCGUUGGAUCGCUGCUGCCACGUGCGGCAGUUGAUUUGGGGCGCACAAGAGCUCCAGCAGCAGCACACCUUUGACACGAUUCUCGCGGCGGACUGUGUAUUCUUCUCGGAGCACCACGAAUCUCUCAUGAAAUGCAUUCACUCGCACCUUCGGCCCAGUGGCCGAGCGAUUUUGUCGAGCCCCCGCCGGAAGCAAAGUUUGCAAAAGUUUUUGGACUAUGUUGGCACUGUGUGGAGUGACGAGUUCACGGUUUGCAUCGAGCCGGAUCUCAAUUUGGCGUUGGAGCAGAAAAUCGGACGAAUUUGGAUGGACGGAGAGGAGAAGGACGAGAAAUUUCCGAUUCUUGUGAUUCUGCAGAAAAUUUGAGAAAAUUUAAUUUCUUAAAUUAAAAAAAAAAAAAACUCGUUGCGUUAGAUUUACGCGGCUCGUGUACUCCUCCUCAAUUUCGUGGUGUAUUUUGCAUUCAAAUCGCGUCUACACGUGGUGGCGCCGCGCCUGUCCCCUUACGGUUUGAUCUACAAAAAAUUCGGGAUUUUUUUAGCCCAAAAAAUGUGACGUCAGCACGUUCUUAACCAUCAAUUGAGAACUCUGCGUCUCGAGAGAAGAUCUUCUCCCGCAUUUUUUGUAGAUCUACGUAGAUCAAGCCGAAAUGAGAGACACUCUGACAAAACACCACACCUAUUCAUAGUGUUUUGUGUGAAAAUCUAUGUUUUUUUUUCUGACAAAAAAUUAUUUUUCUCAUAAAACAAUAUAAAUUACCAAUUUUUGUUGAAAAUCGCCAAUUAUCGAUUUUUUUGAAAAUCGGCCAUUAUCGAUUUUUUUUGAAAAUCGGCAAUUAUCGAUUUUUUUGAAAAUCAGCAAUUAUCGAUCUUUUUGAAAAUCGGCAACUAUCGAUUUUUUUUUGAAAAUCGGCAAUUAUCGAUUUUUUUUGAAAAUCGGCAAUUAUCGAUUUUUUUGAAAAUCGGCAAUUAUCGAUCUUUUUGAAAAUCGGCAAUUAUCGAUUUUUUUUUGAAAAUCGGCAAUAAUCGAUUUUUUGAAAAUCGGCAAUUAUCGAUUUUUUUGAAAAUCGCCAAUUAUCGAUUUUUUUGAAAAUCGCCAAUUAUCGAUAUUCUUGAAAAUCGGCAAUUAUCGAUUUUUUUUUGAAAAUCGGCAAUUAUCGAUAUUCUUGAAAAUCGGCAAUUAUCGAUUUUUUGGAAAUCGGCAAUUAUCGAUUUUUUGGAAAUCGGCAAUUAUCGAUUUUUUUUUUGAAAAUCGCCAAUUAUAGAUUUUUUAAUUUUUUCUGAAAAAAAAGGAUUUUCUCCUAAAACGCAUUGAAUAAAAACCGAUUUAAGGUUAAAUACAAAAACAACAGAAAAUUGCCCAAAAUCGAGAAUUCUCGAGAAAUCUUCUCCUCGGGGACUACACGAGGCGCGUAAAUCAACACAUACGACUCUUUCAUUUUCGAUACGUGCCUGCGCCUUCAAAAAGUGGUUACUGUACCCUUGGCGCACGGCAUGUGGUCUCGACACGACCGAAACUUUGCAGCUACCAUGGUUACUGUAGCUGCGGAGUUCCUGGGUCUCGCAACGAUUUAGUUCAUCUCAAUGUUUUUUUUUUAAAUAACAACAAAACAAGUGUAAUUAGUUUGUGUAUGUUUUCCGGUAUCCUACCACUUUUAUCGAUUUUUCGAUUUUUCUAUCGAUUUUUCUUUCUUGGCUGUGAUUCCUUCCCCACCCCCCUCGAGCUUCAGAUUUUAGACGUAUCUCUCUCUUUUACAGUUUCUUGUCUCGCAAUAAUUUUUUAAAUCGCAUUUUCUAGCAUUUCACCAUUUCACCUACAAACAAAUGUAUCUCACCAAUGUCGAAAAAAUCAUUUAUACAGAAUAAAGUUUAAUUUAGCUGAUCUCUUUUGAAUUCGAUGGCUUCUGCCUUUCUAUAGCUGAUUGGUGGUGCAAAAAUCGAUUUUUAUCGAUUUUACCCCAACAAUCGGCAAUAGAGCGCAUUUGCCACCGGAAAUGCGGAAGCUAUGCCCAAAUUUUCAAUUUUUCCCGGGAAACAUGCCACAAGUUACCGAAUAUGUAGUGGCUUCUGCGUUGCUAUUCUGAUUGGUGGUUCAAAAUGACGUGGUUUCUGGCUGUCCCAUUACGGUUUGAUCUACAAAAAAAAUGCGGGAAUUCAGUUGAAAACUCUCUACGUCUCUGCUCCCGCGCAUUUUUUGUAGAUCUACGGAGAUCAAGCCGAAAUGAGACACUCUGACACCACGUGCGAAAAUCGAUAUUCAAAGGUUACUAGCCUUUAAAUAUUGAUUUUGCUCCAACAAUUGGCCAUAGAGCGCAUUUGCCACCGGGGAUGCGGAAGCUAUCCCCAAAUUUUCACCUUUUCUCCUUUUCCAAUAGGAACUAAAAGGUGCUCUACAACUCGGUGUGCUCAAAACCGCCGACUCGGUUGCUCUGCGAGCCGGCGAGCGAAACGGUCUGGAUAUGGUGGUCGAAGAGGACGUGGUCAGUCAAGUCGGAGCUCUCGUCUGGGAUACGGUUGCACAAGACUGGGCAGACGAUUUGGCGAGAUUUGUGGCUCACGCCGGACGUCAGAGGGUUAAUAUGGACGAUAUUUCGCUGCUGACGAGGAGGAAUCCGGAUUUGCUCCGCGCAGCGUGUGAGCUUGCUGGCGUUGACUGCCCACAGGAAACUUCUGGCGGCACAAAAGGGAAGCCCAGAAAACGAAAAAAGGAUGACGUCACAGUUGCUCCGAUGCUCCGUGCUGCUCCAAGUGCUCCGAAUUCUCAAAAUGCUCCACUACUUGCUCCGAUUCAAGAAGAAGACGAUGAAAAUGAUGAUGAUGAUGAGAUAACAAUUCUCGAUGAUCAAAUCCUUCACACACCACAACAGAAAUCCUAUUCGAAAAAAGCGAAAUUUUCCGAGGAAGAAGCUCCGUCGAGUCGAAAACGAAUUUCAACUUCAACGCCAAAAACCACCGCCGAACGAACGUUGAAAUUUCCGGAUGAAAUAACGCCGAUUCGGCAGCCGAAUGAUCUACAGGAAAUUGUGGUGUUCAAUAGAGCGAAUUUGAGUGCAAUUGAAGAGGAAGAACAGCAGGAUUCAUUUGAUGCUUUUGGAACCACCGGGGGCAAUGAUUCGUCGUCGAAAACGAUAACCAACACCUCCUCACUGCUCCGCCAAGCCGAAGAGCACCGUUCCUCGAUUGUGGAGCCGACGAAGGAUCGCAUCGAAAAAGAACGUCUCGAUCGCCUAGUUCCAGACGAUGAGGAGUUCGAAAACGCCAGCGUCGACUCUUUCGACAAUUUCAACGCGGAGCCAGAUCCGGCUCCUGCACCAGCUCUGGCUCCAGUUCCAGAGAAAAGAACAUCGGUUUUCAGUAAAAAAAUUUGUUCAUUCGACUUUGACGACGACGACGGCGACGAUUCUUUUGAUGAGCCCGUUGUGGUGGUGGCCGAGGUUCCGAAAUUGCCAGUGCAGCAGCAGAAAACGCCGAAAGCUUCUGGUUCGGAGAGCAAAAAGAAACCCGAAAAACGACCGGAGUCUUCUACGCCAUCGGUAUUUUCGAAAAAGAACAAGACAAUUCAACUUGACGAUCACGACAGCUUCGAUGACUUUGAUUUUGGCAUUUAAUUUGUACAAUACCUAUAUUAUUUAUUUAUUUUUCCCUCAUUUUCCCCCAUUUCAACCCAAAAUUUAUUUCAUGAAUCAAAUCUUCUUUUU